AGUCGGUAUAAGGUAAGGUAAGGUGUGCCUCCAGGGUGCCUUUUUACUGAGUACAACUUUUCAGAAGAGUUUAAUACUUUCUCAAAUGCCAUGGAGCAAGAGUGCUGAAGGAGGGCCAGUUUCCCCAAAAUUGGACUUCUCAGAACCUUUAAUAUGCUAAUGUGCAUUGUGAAUCUCCAAGAGGGGGAUAUGAUAUGCAGCAUUCUUGAAUACUUCUAAUGACAGGGAGCCCACUACCUCAUAAGUUCCAAAGAUUUUCUAAGAUAAUAAGUAGCUGAAAAGCCCAGGUUUGUUCAUCAAACUGCAGUGAGAAGAGGAGUUUGUUAUUUUAAACGGAGGCUGAAGAAACUAUAGAAUUAGCAGACAUAAGAGAAAGUGGAGAAGGUGGAGGAUGGAGUUGCAGACUCUACAGGAAGCUCUUAAAGUGGAAAUUCAGGUUCACCAGAAACUGGUUGCUCAAAUGAAACAGGAUCCACAGAAUGCUGAUUUAAAGAAACAGCUUCAUGAACUCCAAGCCAAAAUCACAGCUUUGAGUGAGAAACAG